UUCCUUAUUUGUAAAAAAACAACUAUUAGCAACAAAUCAUGUGACGAUAAUAAAACCAUAAUAUCAUGGUAUAUUUCAACAUUCUAUAAAUAAUGCUGAUAGGAUGUGCUGUGAAUGGAGCUUACAUGUAUAGAACAUAUUGUACGAGAAGUCAAUUGAAAAGAUAACAAUGCUGGUUGCCAUAAGAACAAUUGUGGUGGAAUAUGACGUUAUUUUCUACAUUAUUCUUUCACGCGCUUUAUAUUUAUAUGUCCCUUCCACUAAUGAAAAUACUGUGGAAAAUACAAUUUCCGUGGACAGAAUCGAUCCCAACUACCUAACGGAUAAGAAGCUGUUUGACCUUCUAGAUAGCCGCGGGGAAGUUUAUCGACGUAGUGCUGAUCGAAGUCGACUGUGUACAUUAGCCAAAACAAAAGUUGUCGUAGAGAAAAGUGUGCCUCCUACACUAGCUGAUCUAGAGUCACUGACCAUCUCUGAUCUAAAACAACUGCUGGAUCAGAGAGGCAUAAUGUAUUAUAGUAGGUCAACAAAACAUGACUUAAUUGGAGCCGUUAAUGUAUCAGGCCCAAUAACUAUAGAGGCUUUAGCCCACAUGAAACGAAUUGGUGAACCAAAAAUUGGACCGGUGCAUGAAUUCGAUACCUUCAACAUCGAAGAAACUGUAGAAAACCACAACGAUAGUAUACUUCUUAUAAAUAUAUUGCCACCGAGAUUAAAAUCCUCAUAUUUCAACGAAUCAUCAUGGAAUGCUCUUAGACGAAAACUAACAUACAUGGACUUUAAAUUCGGAGAACUUAACUGUGAUUUUGAAAAACGCAUUUGCCUGAAAAGGAAAUGGAAUAUUUCAACACUUUACCUGCAUACACCCGGAAAAGAAAACGUCACAGAAUAUUAUAUAAGAGAUGACUACAAUAUUCGCAGUAUAUUUUCAAGUAUUCAAAAUGAAAUAAAUUAUAGAGUUAAACAAAUUUCAUCAUGGGACAUAUUUACGUCAUCAAAAUGGGCCUUUUAUCGUGGUUCUAAGGAUAAAAUUGCAGUAAGAAUGAUUCUUUUUACAAAUAUGACGGUACCACCCAUGUUUUUGUCCGCAUUAAGCGUUAAAUACCGCGAUAAAGUAAAUUUUGGAAUGGUCAACAUGGCGUCCAAUAAAGGUAGGAGAAUCCUGAGAAAGUUAAAACAGAAAUAUUGGCCACUGUACUUAGUCGUAACAAAACAAGGCAUAUUAACCUACGGAAAGUUACCAGGAGAAUAUUUUACAUAUCGUGAACUGGACUUUUAUCUUUCUAAUGUAUUACAAUAUUUUCAGCCGACAGAACAAUGGUAUCACAAAUUACCAUUUUUUCUAGAUCCGACAUUGAUAGGACUAAUCAUAGUUUGGUUCAAAGCAACACAUGUGUUAUCGAGAAUCGGGAUCAUGAACGAGGAAGGAAACCAGGGAAAUCAGCAUAAUGGAAACAAUGUCGAGAGAGAGAGAGAGGUUAAUUUUCAUUUAUUGGGAAUUGUUUUUUAAUCUUUAAAAAAGGCAUACGAAUAUUUGUCAUUCAAAUGUAAAUUUUUGAUUCAUAAUGUUUUUGUUAAGUAUCAGUUUCUUUUAAAUAAAAGUCUCCAAAGGGGACGAUCAUUUUAUUUUCUAGGGGAGGGUCUGCAGGAGGAUUUUGUUAAUGAAUAUCCUGGCCUAGUAAGCUGGUAGGAAAUGGGGGGGGGGGGGAAAGACACCAAGCCCGAAUGAACAUAAAUAUUCUGCCCCAUAAAAUUCAGGAAAUAAUAGUUUUCAAAAAUGAAAAUAAAAAAAGCCGUCCUAGCAACAGGUGAAAAUGAUUAUAUAUAGCCGACAAAAACCCUCCUAAAUCCACCCAAAGAGUCAAAUAGUGAUACAAAUGUUAAUAAACUGACGUGUCUUUACAUAAACUAAAUAAUUUAAUGUAAAUGAAGUAUGAAAUUUAGAUAGGUGCAUUUAUUUUUAUAAGAACAAUAAUAACCAUUUUUUAUGUUACGGUUGCAUAGAACCUUAAUUUUGGGGCCAAAAAAAAAAACCAAUGCAAAUAGAAACCGUAAUGUGGAGCAUGGAGCCAACGAUAAAAUUAGGAUUCAGCCCUUGAGCCCAGUCACAAAAUCCCUCAAUAUUAUAUCAUGUGUCAAUCUAUCAAUUAUUGUUUGGUGGGGUCUUCAUGAACUUUAAAACUAUGAUUCGUAACUCGAAGACACAAAUCAAGACAGUUAGUACCCAUUAGUCUGAAACCAACCACACGACAGUAUUCUUUAUCUUUAAUCACGCAAAGAAAAAAGGUAAUCGAUUUUAACAGUUUUAACAUGUCUGGAAAGUGAAUUUGUAUUAAUUUAUUAAAAAAAGAAAUUGUAACGAUUAAUAUAAAUAUAAAUACACCUGGAUUUAUCUAACUGUCAUUUUUAAAUAGGAAAAGUUUUGUAUGAUAUCAUGUGGUACUUACAAGGCCUGAUAUAUAUUAACUGUAUCUUAUUUUCAUGUGAUCCGCAGAUUUAGCUGCAUACAUUAGCGCAGAUAUUUGUUUAUAUUUCACUGGCAUCUGUGUAUUCAAAGACGUUACUCAGAAUAAAAUAGUAUGAGAUUCCUGAUUUGAUGACGCAGGGCUAGAAAUAAAGUUUAUUUUAAAGCUUAUCCAUUUAGUUUUUGAAAUUUCGGAAAAUUCAAUACAUAUUCUACAAACUGUGAAGCCAUUUAAAAUUAGCAUAUCCCAUUAAGUGCAGAAAUUGUAAGCUUUCAUCACAACUGUAUUUAGGUUAACUUUUGCAUGAUGACUAUAUACUUUAUUUUGCUUUAAUAAAACGUUAACAUUUCUGUAACAUGAGCUGUUACCAUUUUUUCUAGUUUACUUAUAAUCUUAAAGAAAUAAACACUGGUAUCCUCUGGACAUGCUCUAUUCUACAGUUAUGCCAAAUUAAACGAGGGUUGUGAAUACAUGCUGACACUAUGAGGAUAAAUGGGUUGUUUCAGUCAUUUAGUGUGGAUCUUUGGGGAUGAUGCUGUCGUUGUCGAGUCUAUUGACGGAGUAUUUGAUGUCUUCUCUUCAACUCUUUCUUGACCAAGUGGUCUUGGAGAUGCUAGCGCAGGAUCCGGGCAUACUACACCCGGUCUGUGCGGUACACAUACAUUAUAAUUGACAUCAAAGUCUGUAUCACCAGCACACGACAUUACAAGUGAUGCGCUAUGUUCACAUUGAAAAUAUUUGUUGCAAUCUGUCGGAUACGGAUAGAUAUUCCCGCCACUCAUGUAAUAUGGUUCCCUUGCAAACACUGUUGAAAAGAAAACCAAAUUGCUUGCUGAUUAAUUGGUCUUGCUUAUACUAUUAUUUCUAUUAAAAAAUAACGUUGCAUAUUAUCAUUAACUCAUCAAUGAUACCAGGAAUCAAGUUUUGUAUGUCAGACGCGAAUUUCUUCUGCAAAAGAAUCAGCAGUGACGCUCAAAUAGAAAAAGUAAUUGGUUAACAAAAUACAAAUAUAACACAACGCUUCUACAUUUUAAGAUCUUUAUAUUAUCAGGCAUCUGAAUAUUAUCUGUUUUUAUAAAAAUAAGACAUAUCUAAUAAAAUUGAGGAUGAAAAUGGGAAAUGUGUCAAAGAGACAACAACCCGACCAAAGAGGAUAUAUAAAGUAUACAUAAUAAGUAUGUUACCGAAAUUUCUAGCAAGAAGCCCUAGCAAGAAGCCCUAAUUUUAGGCACAUCACGAUUUUCUCGCAUAGGAAUUUGCUAACAAACAUUUGUAAAAUUAUGUAGUAAAACAGAUGAAAUCAUACUAUAUUUAUAAAACAAAAAUGGACAAAUAGAAUGUAAACAUUUUCUUUUCAAAUAUGUGAAACAGCCAAUAACAGUCCUCAAAUAAACGGUAAAACUCGCUAUUGUUACAAAAAUAUCCACAAUAACAUACAAAAAAAAAAAAAAAAAAAACACAA